GGCUCAGAGUGAACGCUGGCGGCAGGCCUAACACAUGCAAGUCGAGCGGCAGCGCGUCCGACCACCCUCGGGUGGUCGGAUGGCGGCGAGCGGCGGACGGGUGAGGAAUGCAUCGGAAUCUGCCUCGUUGUGGGGGAUAACGUAGGGAAACUUACGCUAAUACCGCAUACGACCUACGGGUGAAAGUGGGGGACCUUCGGGCCUCACGCGAUGAGAUGAGCCGAUGCCGGAUUAGCUAGUUGGCGGGGUAAAGGCCCACCAAGGCGACGAUCCGUAGCUGGUCUGAGAGGAUGAUCAGCCACACUGGAACUGAGACACGGUCCAGACUCCUACGGGAGGCAGCAGUGGGGAAUAUUGGACAAUGGGGGCAACCCUGAUCCAGCCAUGCCGCGUGUGUGAAGAAGGCCUUCGGGUUGUAAAGCACUUUUGUUGGGGAAGAAACCGGCCGGGUUAAUACCCUGGUUGAAUGACGGUACCCAAAGAAUAAGCACCGGCUAACUUCGUG
rnacentral:rRNA from 1 species